GAUGAACGCUGGCGGCGUGCCUUAAGCAUGCAAGUCAAGGGGUCCCGAUCGCAAGAUCGUGGAAACCGGCGGACGGGUGAGUAAUGCGUGGGAAUCUACCUCGAAGUUGGACAUAGCCCCGCGAAAGCGGGAGUAAUUUCCAAUGUGAAUGCAAAUUUAAAGCCGUAAGGCGCUUUGAGAUGAGCCUGCGUCCUAUCAGCUAGUUGGUGGGGUAAUUGCCUACCAAGGCGACGACGGGUAGCUGGUCUGAGAGGAUGGUCAGCCACAAUGGGACUGCGACACGGCCCAUACACCUACGGGAGGCAG
rnacentral:rRNA from 1 species